rnacentral:rRNA from 1 species
UACGUAGGGCGCAAGCGUUGUCCGGAAUUAUUGGGCGUAAAGAGCUCGUAGGCGGUUUGUCGCGUCGGAUGUGAAAGCCCGGGGCUUAACUCCGGGUCUGCAUUCGAUACGGGCGGACUAGAGUGUGGUAGGGGAGAUCGGAAUUCCUGGUGCAGCGGUGAAAUGCGCAGAUAUCAGGAGGAACACCGGUGGCGAAGGCGGAUCUCUGGGCCAUUACUGACGCUGAGGAGCGAAAGCGUGGGGAGCGAACAGG